GAGGGGGAGCCGAGACCCGCUGCGGCUUCAGCGGGGUCCGUUAUCGCGGCCCGGCAGGCGCUUCCCGCCCACGGGAUCGGUCGGGUUGGGAACGGCCGCUGAGGUCAUCGCAGGUCCGACCUGCGGGCGAGUGACGCUCCCUGGCACUCCUGUCACUGCGUGCCACGUCCGGGCGUUCCUUGGGCACCUCCAGGGAUGCUCUUGGACAAGCAGAAGCAGAAGAAUUUGACCUCAGUCACUGCACAGGCUACAGAGUGGCCCAGCUGGAGCUGGGGCUUCCAGAGAUCCUCCUACUCCCUCUCUCCUCACCACACAGAACUCCCUCAGCCAGUGUCUAGAGGUAAAUGCAGGGCCCUGGGCUCUCAAGUUUGCCUUCAGUUUUUGCUAAAUUUGCAGCAUUAGUUCUUGGGGGAGGAAGGAAAUGCAGAAGAGCAGAAGGAACUGAGAAGGGAUGAAGGAAGUGACUGAAAAAAUUGCAAGGUUGAGGUCCAAGACAGGUCAGACAGAAGAACAGGCACAUCAUUCAUUGUUUCCAAUUAAUUUCUCUUGCCCCAUUAGAAAAAAAAAUCACAUGUAAGACAGCAUGCAGGCACUCUGUAUGUCCAUUUCAGAACUUUGAAAGGGAAAAAACCUCAUCUGAAAACAUUUAAACUUCCAAGGGCAGAUCUCUGGAUGGACAGGCUGCUGUCACACACCCCAAGGAAUGUUCCACUGGCAGAUCUAAGCUCUGAAACUCUGACAGGUGCACAGUUGCUACAGGAGCUUAGCAAAGCUUAUCCCCUGCUUGGUUUCAAGUGUGUUGUGAGACAUGCUGCUGAAUCUGAACCCUUUAUUGAAACUGUGGUGAUAUUUCCUCAAAAAUGAGCCUUAAUUUAACAUUUAACACUAAUCCAUGGAAUUGUGGAACAGUUCCAAAACCUUGUGCUUUGUUACAGGCGUUUUUAAUACAUUUUAGCAGUGUUAAGAUUAAAUAAAAAUUAUUAAAAGUUAAUAAAAUUAAUUUUA
rnacentral:lncRNA from 1 species